UCCCUGUUUUGUUGUAAGUCGCUCUGGAUAAGAGCGUCUGCUAAAUGACUUAAA
rfam:Salmo salar isolate Sally breed double haploid chromosome ssa28, whole genome shotgun sequence.